GUGUGUGUGUGUGUGUUGUUUUCCCAGCUCCUGGAUGAGAGAAAGCGAUGACAGCGAGAGCAGCGGGCGGGAUAAAUUGAGCCACACAGCCACUCAUAGGUGACCUUACCUCAGCCCUGUCCAAUGAGAAGGCCCCUGAGACUGUGCUCUGCAUCAUAGGGGGAGGAGGGAAAAGCUCAGCCAGCUGCUACACAACAAGAAAGAGGGAGCUUUUAUCUCCAUGUCCUGCUGUUCAUCUAACACACACUAUUGUUAGCCUCUACAGAUGAUUUGACCUUUUCCUACAGAUUAUUAUCCCUUCAAGCACUGGCCUUUAUCAGCCUCAUCUCUCCCAUCGUUGUCCCAUUCCUCUUAUCUGUCCUCUCCUUUAUUAGCCUAGGAUCUGGUCAUAGGUUAGAUUGGAGAACUGCAGCGUGCCGCCCGGUCCGCCCAGUGAGGGGGGUCCAGGUGGUUAACCCACUGUGGGGAGCUGUUGUAAUACUGAUCCACUGAACAAAGUGAGGCUCUGGUUUGUUUCACACCAGGUUACACUAAAGGAGGGAUUCCACAGCGAGGUAGACGCAGAGGUUGACACACACACACGUUGCUGAAGAGAUCUGAUAGCCUAUGCAUGGAGACAUGAAGCACCAUGUGAACUGUAGACUACAUAACAUGUGUAAACAACUACCUCCAGAGAUCAGGUUACCUGCCUGCUAGGGCUGGGAAAUGCCAGGGACCUCACGAUACCAUAUUAUCACCAUACUUAGGUGCCGAUAGCAUAUUAUCACCAUACUUAGGUGCCGAUAGCAUAUUAUCACCAUACUUAGGUGCCGAUAGCAUAUUAUCACCAUACUUAGGUGCCGAUAGCAUAUUAUCACCAUACUUAGGUGCCGAUAGCAUAUUAUCACCAUACUUAGGUGCCGAUAGCAUAUUAUCACCAUACUUAGGUGCCGAUAGCAUAUUAUCACCAUACUUAGGUGCCGAUAGCAUAUUAUCACCAUACUUAGGUGCCGAUAGCAUAUUAUCACCAUACUUAGGUGCCGAUAGCAUAUUAUCACCAUACUUAGGUGCCGAUAGCAUAUUAUCACCAUACUUAGGUGCCGAUACCAUAUUAUCACCAUACUUAGGUGCCGAUACCAUAUUAUCACCAUACUUAGGUGCCGAUACCAUAUUAUCACCAUACUUAGGUGCCGAUACCAUAUUAUCACCAUACUUAGGUGCCGAUACCAUAUUAUCACCAUACUUAGGUGCCGAUACCAUAUUAUCACCAUACUUAGGUGCCGAUAUGUUAUGCGAUUCUCAUGAUUCUUAUAUGUAUUGCGAUUUGAUACUGUGAUUUUUAUUGCGAUUUCGAUGUUCCAAACAUGUUGCUCACCACAUGUCUGCUGCAGAGGGACGAGGGAGAGACAUGAGAACUGCUGUUGAUCAGUCGGGGAAAUAAAAGUGCUGAAGACAUGUCUUACUAUUUAAAAAGAAGAUGAGAACAAACUAUGAAACUAUGAAAGAAACACACUGGAGUUUUAGUGCAGGUACAGCCAAGUAGCGCAAAAAUAAUAUUGUCAUAUUGUCAAAACAGUACAAUAUUUUGUCAGAAGUAAUAUCCCGAUAUACAGGUGAAUGAAGGUGAAAGCUAUAAUCCCUUAUUGAUGUCACCAGUUAAAUCCACUUCAAUCAGUGUAGAUGAAGCGGAGAAGACGGGUUAAAGAAGGAUUUUUAAGCCUUGGGACAAUUGAGACACAGAUUGUGUGUGUGUGUGUGUGUGUGUGUG